CUGACGAGCGGCGGACGGGUGAGUAACGCGUAGGAAUCUACCCAGUAGCGGGGGAUAGCCCGGGGAAACCCGGAUUAAUACCGCAUACGCCCUAUGGGGGAAAGCAGGGGAUCUUCGGACCUUGCGCUAUUGGAUGAGCCUGCGUCGGAUUAGCUAGUUGGUGGGGUAAAGGCCUACCAAGGCGACGAUCCGUAGCUGGUCUGAGAGGAUGAUCAGCCACACCGGGACUGAGACACGGCCCGG
rnacentral:rRNA from 1 species